UGGAGUGUUACUCAAGUGGUUAAGAGGACUGAUUGCUAAUCAGUUAGCACCGUAGGUGGCGAAGGUUCGAAUCCUUCACACUCCGU
rnacentral:tRNA from 1 species